rnacentral:lncRNA from 1 species
ACCAGUGCCUCCUAUAUUUGUUCCGGAGACGAGAGAUGAUGGUGUGCAUGAUGACCUCUUCAAAGCCCAGUGGUCACUAGGUCCUCGUCACUCCUCCAUGUGUGCACCCCACACAGGGAAAUGAAACAGAAAGGAGAUAUGUUUUGAGAGCUGUCCAAGGAGACUUGCUGCGGGGCUGGAUGGGAGAGACCCUGAAAACCCCCAAAGCAGGAAUAACAGCUAACACUUAUUGACUGGAAUCUGAGCUCACUAACAGCCUCCAUCCUGGAGUUGCUGGCUCUGUCACCGCUGAGAUGAGUCUGCAUGUCCUGCAGUUUUGACUUCAAACCAACAUCUGUGGUCAGCUCUCCACUCCCUGCCAAUACAGCCAGCACUGUUCUGACAGCAGUCACUAAGCUUGAGGUUCAGUCGCACUGGGGGUGUGUACCGGGGGCCCUGCUGAAUGGGUCUUCUAGGAGACUCAUGGCCUAUAUUUUAACUCGCACUAUCACAAAUGUGCCCUCUGAAUGUGGUGAACAUCUACCAAGCCAGUUGCACGUAAGGUCAUGGGUAAGCUCAUAAACAAUG